rnacentral:rRNA from 1 species
UACGAGGGGGGCGAGCGUUAUCCGGAAUUAUUGGGCGUAAAGGAUGCGUAGAUGGUGUAGUAAGUUAUCGGUGGCAAAUCGAGGCUCAACCUCGUGGAAGUCGGUAAUACUGCUAUGCUAGAGGAUAGGAGAGGUUAACGGAACUCCCUGUGGAGCGGUGAAAUGCGUAGAUAUAGGGAAGAACACCAAUCAGGCGAAGGCAGUUAACUAUUCUAUUCCUGACAUUGAGGCAUGAAAGCGUGGGGAGCAAAACGG